rnacentral:rRNA from 1 species
GGGAAGGGGCGGCCUAACCAUGCAAGUCGAACGGCAGCACAGAAAAGCUUGCUCUUUGGGUGGCGAGCCCGCGGACGGGUGAGUAAUGUCUGGGAAACUGCCCCCAUGGAGGGGGAUAACUACUGGAAACGGUAGCUAAUACCGCAUAACGUCGCAAGACCAAAGUGGGGGACCUUCGGGCCUCACACCAUCGGAUGUGCCCAGAUGGGAUUAGCUAGUAGGUGGGGUAAUGGCUCACCUAGGCGACGAUCCCUAGCUGGUCUGAGAGGAUGACCAGCCACACUGGAACUGAGACACGGUCCAGACUCCUACGGGAGGCAGCAGUGGGGAAUAUUGCACAAUGGGCGCAAGCCUGAUGCAGCCAUGCCGCGUGUAUGAAGAAGGCCUUCGGGUUGUAAAGUACUUUCAGCGGGGAGGAAGGCGGUGAGGUUAAUAACCUCACCGAUUGACGUUACCCGCAGAAGAAGCACCGGCUAACUCCGUGCCAGCAGCCGCGGUAAUACGGAGGGUGCAAGCGUUAAUCGGAAUUACUGGGCGUAAAGCGCACGCAGGCGGUCUGUUAAGUCAGAUGUGAAAUCCCCGGGCUUAACCUGGGAACUGCAUUUGAAACUGGCAGGCUUGAGUCUCGUAGAGGGGGGUAGAAUUCCAGGUGUAGCGGUGAAAUGCGUAAAGAUCUGGAGGAAUACCGGUGGCGAAGGCGGCCCCCUGGACGAAGACUGACGCUCAGGUGCGAAAGCGUGGGGAGCAAACAGGAUUAGAUACCCUAGUAGUCCAA